UAUAAAAGCAGAAAUAGGGAGGUGUCUCCAUGAGAACAGCAUGAGUCCAGCCAUGAGGAGUGUGUGUGUGCUGCUGCUGCUGGCUGUUGGACACAGUGUAAAGUGUGAGACACUGACACAGCCAGCCUCUGUGACUGUGCAGCCAGGACACACUCUCACUAUCCCCUGUACUGUCUCAUAUUCUCACAGUAGUUAUGCUACGAACUGGGUGAGACAGCCUGCUGGGAAAGGCCUGGAGUGGAUUGGAGAACACUGUGGAUCUGGAUGUACCAUGCUCAUCAAAGAUUCACUGAAGAACAAGUUCAGUAUAAAUGUUGGCUCUAGCACAGUGACUCUGAAUGGACAGAACAUGCAGCCUGGAGACACUGCAGUGUACUACUGUUGUGCAAGACGAACGCAGCACAGUCACAGAAAGUAUAUGUAG